GUCAAUAUUGAUUAUUCCAAAAAUGUUUAAUUCUCCAAUUGCCAACAAUGAGCUAUUUCAGGAAAUCGUGUUUACUUUAGAAGAUCAUGAAGCCCAAGUUUUUCUUCUUCUUUUCAAUCUGCAAGAAUGAUCAAAGAAAAUAAGCAUGGAUUAUAGUGUUCAAAAGUUUAUGCCCUUAUUUAUGUCAUUUUUAUGGAAAUUAGGCAAGUUAAAUCAUCCAAUCAAAUAAAAUUAAAUAUUAUAUUACUUAAACUCUUCAAGAAUGUUGUACAUUCGUGCCAAAUUAUCUAAAAAGUUAUUAUUUUUAGAGAAUUUGACAUACAACGAACAACACUUUUGAAGAAUUCAAGUAACAUUGGAAAAAAACUUUUGAUUAAAUGAGUUCCCUUAUAAACUUCACCCUUAUUGUUCUUGUGAGUUCUUAUGCUUGUGUGUUACACAUAAACAUGUAUUGGUGUUUAUAAGCCAAAAGUUCAUGAGAAGCAUAAUGUAAUUUAGUAUUAAAUUUUAUGUAUUGCAUUGUGUAAU